AUUUUGGUCAGCAUUCAUAAACAGCUAGACAUAAAUCUCUAAUCUGUCUUCAUGCCUGACCCUAAACUCAGAAUGCGUAAGAUAAUGUGCAAGACAGGCAAAAAUUGUCAACCACGGUCCACGUCGUCGUCGUUCGACUUCGUUCUCUUGCUCAAACUCUCUAAUGUUGUCGGAAUCUUCGUGGUGAAGCAUCGGAAAAAGUGAUACGGAAAUCGGGAAAAGUGCUACGAAAGCAAUUGUAAUGUUAUUGCCCAGAAAAAAAUUUU